rfam:Glycine max cultivar Williams 82 chromosome 2, whole genome shotgun sequence.
UGAGACCAGUGAUGUAUUGAGAUAUUGCCGACAUUGUCUGAUUAUCUUAUUUUAGAUAAUGACGUGUUCAAAUCUCUGAGGUCUGC